rnacentral:rRNA from 1 species
AACGAACGCUGGCGGCGCGCCUAAUACAUGCAAGUCGAGCGAGAAGACGUAGCAAUACGUUUGUAAAGCGGCGAACGGGUGAGGAAUACAUGGGUAACCUACCCUCGAGUGGGGAAUAACUAGCCGAAAGGUUAGCUAAUACCGCGUACGCUCCUUGGACUUCGGUUCAGGGAGGAAAGCGAUACCGUGGGUAUUGCGCUCUUGGAUGGGCUCAUGUCCUAUCAGCUUGUUGGUGAGGAACGGCUCACCAAGGCUUCGACGGGUAGCUGGUCUGAGAGGACAAUCAGCCACACUGGCACUGCGACACGGGCCAGACUCCUACGGGAGGCAGCAGUAAGGAAUAUUGCGCAAUGGGCGAAAGCCUGACGCAGCGACGCCGCGUGGGGGAUGAAGGUCUUCGGA